rnacentral:rRNA from 1 species
GCCUAACACAUGCAAGUCGAGCGAGGAGAUUCCUUCGGGAUGAUCCUAGCGGCGGACGGGUGAGUAACACGUGGGCAACCUGCCUCAUAGAGAGGAAUAGCCUUCCGAAAGGGAGAUUAAUACCUCAUAACAUUGCAGUUUCGCAUGGAACAGCAAUUAAAGGAGCAAUCCACUAUGAGAUGGGCCCCGCGGCGCAUUAGCUAGUUGGUGAGGUAACGGCUCACCAAGGCGACGAUGCGUAGCCGACCUGAGAGGGUGAUCGGGCCACAUUGGGACUGAGACACGGCCCAGACUCCUACGGGAGGCAGCAGUGGGGAAUAUUGCACAAUGGGGGAAACCCUGAUGCAGGCAACGCCGCGUGAGUGAUGACGGCCUUCGGGUUGCAAAGCUCUGUCUUCAGGGACGAUAAUGACGGUACCUGAGGAGGAAGCCACGGCUAACUACGUGCCAGCCGCAGC